AUCCUGUGGUGAGGGCAUUUGCAUAACAACUUUUUAAAUAUUCCCCAUGCCUCGUAUAGGGAUUCAUCAUCCAUUUCCUUAAAAUUAGUGAUCUCAUUCCACAACU
rfam:Gossypium raimondii Chr11_contig_650, whole genome shotgun sequence.